UUUUUUUUUUUUUUUUUUUUAAUGAAAUUUCAGGUUUAUGUGUGUACCUCUUAGUAGUAUUAGAAGUAUUUAUUUAGGACUUUACUACUUUUUUGACAAGAUAGCAUUUUAUUUUUAAAGUGAGCUUUUCUCUUAUGUGAAAACCCUAGAAAAUUCUACUUUCCUAACUGGGCUUUAUUUUUGUCUUAGGUAGUUGUGACUCAGCUCAGAAGGGGAUUUAUUGAAUUUGAAUGAAUUGAUUUUAACCUAGGGACAACUCACCUUCUAGUGUAUUUUUCUUUUAUCUAGCUUAUGUGGAGAGGCAGGAAACUUUGUGUGUUAUGUGUUUCUUUGUUGAGUCGCCUGCCCUCUAUGCCUGUGUUAUUUCACUUACAAAUCAAUUUUACAACAUUAUAGUUUUUUUGUAAUUUAAUACAUAAAAGGAAAUAAUAUAUUAAAGUAAUGUUCUUAACCAAAGCAAAAUCUGGGGGUCUGAAAUUCACAUUUGGCUAAAUGUGAAUUUGGUUAAAAAUCAGAUGUUCAUUGCUAGGCAUGAAUCUCCAAUUGGUCUCUAGUGCUAUUAAAAAAUAUGGAGGGUAAACAUAUUUAUACCAGAAUUAUAAAAGUCUGUUUAUAGUUUUUGUUUCAUUGUCUCUUCCUACAGUCUGAACCUGGGAUCUGAGUUGCCUUGUUUUUCAUUGUAAGAAAUCAAACGCCAGGGAAAACUGACUUUGUUGCUUUUAGAUUGAGUCCAUUUAUCAGAAACGUUCCUGUAGUCAUGCUUGGUGGCAGCAUGCUUUUAAUUCUAGGAGGUAAAUCUCUGUGAGUUCCUGGCCAGUCUAGUCUACAGAGAAAAUUCCAGAGGACUCUGUCUUGAAAAAACAAACAAACAAGCAAACAAACAAAACCAACCCAAAAUCAUUAGCUGAUAUUAUAUGGUGAUGAGUAUAUUAGCUUAUUUAAGAUUUAAUGCCUAAGUGAUUAAAGAACAGAUGUUAUAUAAUUAAAAUUCCAUGAAAAAAUUUCCAUUACAUGUUCUUAACAACUUUUUAUACUUAGAGAAACGAUUUAAUUUCUUUUCUCACAGGAAAAACAGUGGCUCUUACAAGUAACCGGAACAUAGGUAGGUCACCUUUUCAUCCUGGUGCUGGAGUGGCAAUAUUACCAGAAUAAAAUCCUGAAAGGAAAAGCAGGUACACAUGAGUUCUUUAAAGCCAUAGUACAUCUCUGGAUGGCCUCUGGAUGUUGCAGGUGGUGUAGGUGCUUUAGAAGUAAAAGCAGAAUUGGAAUAAUUAGCUCUUUCAAGUUGAAGGCUUUAAGGAUGCUAGGAACUGUGGAGACAAUAUCUUCUGUAUUAUAUGGAUGUAUCAUCUUUCAGUUAAAAGAAAACUUUGGCCUAUAGGAACGGGUAGAAUAGAAGGUGGGCCAUCCAGAAGGCAGAAAGAAUUCUGGGAUAGAGCCUGUUGUAGGAGAUUUACCCUGGAAAAUAUGACGAGACAGGCACAUGGUACCUGAGCACAGGUAACCAGCCACGUGGUAGAAUGUAGAUUUGAGUAACUGGUUAUAAUACUUGUGGGAUAGGUCACUGUCCUUCUCUGAUGCUACCCAGGGCUCCUAUGAAGGAACCAGGGUAGGUUUAGUGAGAGGACUUUGAUGAGUCAACAUGGGGCUUGUUGGAGGCUUUUCUUAGAAAUUUCUUUCUUAGGAAUUUGGUGUUGUGAUUUCCAGGUUAUCUGUGCAGAGCUUGUAACUUACUUGAAGGACCAGAAAGUAUCUGUAUUUAAAAAGUUCCUGAACAGGAAAUAAAUAAAGACCAGGGCAGCAAAACUUGCCUGAGUCUACGAGUCUUAUACAGCAUAGGUCCCACUACUUGCUCAUACAACAGGAAAUGUGGUGAACAAUAGCAACAUUUUCAUUGAUGUGUGUGUGUGUGUGUGUGUGUGUGUGUGUGUGUGUGUGUGUGUGUGUGCUGUGGUAUAUGUGUUUGUGUGGCUGUUUGUGUUUGGACCAGCUGUGGCUGAGCGUGUUUUUGCAAGUGUUUGUGGUGUGAGUGCUUGUAUAUACAACUGUGUUUGUAUGCUUGUGUGUUUAUGUGUGUUUGUGCAGACAUGCACCAGUGUGUGUCUUCAGAGGCCAAGUUUAAUAAGAAAAAUUACUCUGAGAUUUCACUUUGCAUCCAUGAAACAUCAAAGAAAGCAGUCCAAUUAUUCUGCAUCUCCACCUACCUCCCAAGAACAGAGGGCACAGAAACUCCUGUAAGGUCAGAAUCCUCACUGAAAUCUCUUGGAGCAAAUCAAAGGAAUAUAGUACAUGUAGGUGCUAAGGAGGUUGCUGUAUAAAAUCCAUGUGUUUAUGUCCUUUUUCUGCUCUUGCUGUAUUGUGAAAGCCCAAUGAAAGGUCAGGUUGCUCACUGUGUCUUGUCAGC
rnacentral:lncRNA from 1 species